GCUUACGGACAUACCAGCUGAAGAUUGCCCAAUCUUGUCUGAUCUCAGAAGCUAAGAAGGCUUGGGCCUGGUUAGUACUUGGAUGGGAGACUACAUGGGAAUACCAGGUGCUGUAAGCU
ensembl:rRNA 5S_rRNA 5S ribosomal RNA